UACCCGCAGUCCAAGUGGUGGUCGAUUUUAUUGGGCCUAAAGCGUCCGUAGCCGGUCUGGUAAAUGCCUGGGUAAAUCGUUUGGCUCAACCAAACGAAUUCCGGGUAGACUACCAGACUUGGGACCGGUUGAGGGAGAGGGUACUCCAGGGGUAGGAGCGAAAUCCUGUAAUCCCUGAAGGACCACCAGUGGCGAAGGCGCUCUCCUAGAACGGGUCCGACGGUGAGGGACGAAAGCCAGGGGGAGCAAACCGGAUUAGAUACCCGGGGUAGUCCUGGCCGUAAACGAUGCGGGCUUUGCAUUGGGAAUCCUACGAGGGUGCCCAGUGCCGAAGCGAAGGCGUUAAGCCCGCCGCCUGGGAGUACGGUCGCAAGGCCGAAACUUAAAGGAAUUGGCGGGGGAGCACCGCAAUGGGAGGAGCGUGCGGUUU
rnacentral:rRNA from 1 species